GCUCUGGUUAGUCCAACACGUGUAUAAGAUAGAAUUACCGCGUCUGUAGAGCGUGAGUCUCUUAAUCUCAAGGUGGUGGGUUCGAGCCCCACAUUGGGCC